rnacentral:rRNA from 1 species
CCUACGGGAGGCAGCAGUGGGGAAUAUUGCGCAAUGGGCGAAAGCCUGACGCAGCGACGCCGCGUGAGGGAUGAAGGUCUUCGGAUCGUAAACCUCUGUCAGCAGGGAAGAACGGUCACUGUGCUAAUCAGCAGUGAAUUGACGGUACCUGCAAAGGAAGCACCGGCUAACUCCGUGCCAGCAGCCGCGGUAAUACGGAGGGUGCGAGCGUUAAUCGGAAUUACUGGGCGGCAAGCGCGCGUAGGCGGUAUGUCAAGUCAAGGGUGAAAGCCCCGCGCGCACCGUGGGAACUGCCUUUGAAACUGGCAAACUGGCUUGUGUGAGCGGCUAGUGGCAUUCCAGGUGUAGCCGU